rnacentral:rRNA from 1 species
CUCAGGAUGAACGCUAGCGGCAGGCUUAACACAUGCAAGUCGAGGGGUAUUAGUUUUCGGAGUUAGAGACCGGCGCACGGGUGCGUAACGCGUAUGCAAUCUACCUUUUACAGAGGGAUAGCCCAGAGAAAUUUGGAUUAAUACCUCAUAGCAUAGCAGMAUGGCAUCAAUCCGCUAUUAAAGUCACAACGGUAAAAGAUGAGCAUGCGUCCCAUUAGCUAGUUGGUAAGGUAACGGCUUACCAAGGCUACGAUGGGUAGGGGUCCUGAGAGGGAGAUCCCCCACACUGGUACUGAGACACGGACCAGACUCCUACGGGAGGCAGCAGUGAGGAAUAUUGGACAAUGGGCGCAAGCCUGAUCCAGCCAUGCCGCGUGCAGGAUGACGGUCCUAUGGAUUGUAAACUGCUUUUAUACGAGAAGAAACACUCUUCGUGAAGGAGCUUGACGGUAUCGUAAGAAUAAGGAUC